rfam:TPA: Bos taurus chromosome 3, whole genome shotgun sequence.
UCCCUGGUGGCUUAGAUGGUAAAGAAUCUGCCUAAAAUGCAGGAGACCCAGGUUUGAUCCCUGGGUGGGAAA